rnacentral:rRNA from 1 species
UACGUAGGGGGCAAGCGUUUGUCCGGAAUCAUUGGGCGUAAAGCGCGCGUAGGCGGCCCUGUAAGUCCGUUGUGAAAGUCAAAGGCUCAACCUUUGAAAGCCGAUGGAUACUGCAGGGCUAGAGUCCGGAAGAGGCGAGUGGAAUUCCUGGUGUAGCGGUGGAAUGCGCAGAUAUCAGGAGGAACACCAAUAGCGAAGGCAGCUCGCUGGGACGGUACUGACGCUAAGGCGCGAAAGCGUGGGGAGCGAACAGG